UAUAGCGAAGUCAUGUUCGAUAGGGA
rnacentral:piRNA from 1 species